rnacentral:lncRNA from 10 species
GCCAGAUAAGACAAUAAAAGCAGGCUGCCCGAGCCAGCAGUGGCAACUCGGUCUGGUCCCCUUCCAGAGUGUGGGAGCUUAGUUCUUUCGGUCUUUGCAAUAAAUCUUGCUGCUGCUUACUCUUUGGGUCCACACCGCCUUUAUGAGCUGUAACACUCACUGUGAAGGUCUGCAGCUUCACUCCUGAGCCAGUGAGACCACGAACCCACCAGAAGGAAGAAACUCUGAACACAUCCGAACAUCAGAAGGAACAAACUCUGGACGCGCCGCCUUUUUAAGAACUGUAACACUCACUGUGAGGGUCCGCGGCUUCAGUCUUGAAGUCAGUGAGACCAAGAACCCACCGAUUCCGGACACACUUUCAGAAUGUGACGAGGACCUGAGGGUCUGGAAAUAACUGGGAAAGAAAAGCCUUGUGGAAAGAAGACAUCUCCAG